GUUGAAGAACGUAGCGAAAUGCGAUACGUAAUGUGAAUUGCAGAAUUCAGUGAAUCAUCGAAUCUUUGAACGCAUAUUGCGCUCUCUGGUAUUCCGGAGAGCAUGCUUGUUUGAGUAUCAGUAAACACCUCAACUUCCAUAUCUUUUUUGAAAUGGGAGUUGGACUUGAGUGAUCCCAACGCUUUUCCUCACCGAAAAGUGGCGGGUUACUUGAAAUGCAGGUGCAGCUGGACUUUUCUCUGAGCUAUAAGCAUAUCUAUUUAGUCUGCCUAAAAAACAGAUUAUUACCUUUGCUGCAGCUAACAUAAAGGAGAUUAGUUCUUGUGCUGACUGAUGCAGGAUUCACAAAGACAGCUUCGGCCGACUUUGUAAACUCGAUCUCAAAUCAAGUAAGACUACCCGCUGAACUUAAGCAUAUCAAUAAGCGGAGGA
rnacentral:misc_RNA from 1 species